GUGUCAGCCGCCGCGGUAAGACGAACCGUGCGAACGUUAUUCGGAAUCACUGGGCUUAAAGCGCGUGUAGGCGGGCCAGCACGUCGGGCGCUGAAAUCCCCCGGCUCAACCGGGGAACGGGCACCGAUACGACUGGCCUGGAGGGGAGUAGGGGGACCUGGAACUUCCGGUGGAGCGGUGAAAUGCGUUGAGAUCGGAAGGAACGCCCGUGGCGAAAGCGAGGUCCUGGGCUCUUACUGACGCUGAGACGCGAAAGCCAGGGGAGCGAACGGGAUUAGAUACCCUUGUAGUCC
rnacentral:rRNA from 1 species